GGUCUGCAGUAGCAGCACUAUCCAUCCACCAUCAUGCCAGAAUGUGGCCUUCCGCGUGUUUUGUAUCCGUCGUCGUCGUGACGUCUACUACUACCAUACAUGAAACAUACAUUACACAUCAUGUGUUGCCCGAGUAUUCAAUGCCCGUAGCUAUGACUUGUAGAGGGUGAGACUUUUGAGGAAAUCCUAUACAAUUAACGAUUUUACCUAUGGAAAUUUUGGGAUAGCGGAAUUUCGACACGUGUUUGGUUAACAGUUCCAAUUUUGUUGACUCCUGUAGACGGUACUUGGGAAUAUUACGGUAUGAGGAUGUGGCAGGUUUACGGUCCAGAAAAAACAACGGUCAAAAGAAGAAUGAUUUUCUAAAUUAAGACUGUACAAGUGCAGCUGAGGUCAAUCCAGACGAACAAGGUUAAAACAAUGUCCGUCUUCAAUGGACCACAAAGUGAUUUGGAUAGAAUUUAUCUACCGCCAAAAUGAGUUACGUAUUAUCUAUGGAAAUCGGAAGAAU